rnacentral:rRNA from 1 species
GCCACGGUCCUUAGAAGGUGCCAGGCCUGUGGGACAGACUGCGUCUUCCGGGAAGGCCUCUCCUUGGAGUCGGGUUGCUUGAGAGUGCAGCCCUAAGCAGGUGGUAAACUCCAUCUAAGGCUAAAUACAACCACGAGACCGAUAGUAAACAAGUACCGUGAGGGAAAGUUGAAAAGAACUUUGAAGAGAGAGUUCAAGAGUACGUGAAACCGUUCAGGGGUAAACGGGUGGAGCCCUAAAGGUCGAACGGGGAGAUUCAGUAUCCCGUCCGCACUGCCGCUCCUCGCAGUCGGGUAUUCGGGGGCUUCGGCCUUCCGGGCCCUCUGCGGGGUCUCGCGCGCAGGCGGGGGAGCGCACUUCUCCCCUAGUAGCACGCCGCGACCGGUUGGGUGUCGGUCUAAGGCCCGGGUGCGAGUCCGUUUCGCGGGUGACCGCGGCUCGGAGCCCUGGUGUCCCGGCCGACUGCCCGACCGUCGAACGUAUGGAAAAGGCCCGCGUGCUUCGCGCGCGCUCGUGCCGCUUGCGAGCGUCCGCCCGGACCCCGUUGUACGGACUUGUCCGUCGCGGGACGGUCGGCGCUGUCGGCGAGUGGAUUUCUCGAGCAGUGGCCUGCUCCCAGUUUGCGGCGCUUAAAAAAGGGUGGCCCACCCGGCCCGUCUUGAAACACGGACCAAGGAGUCUAACAUGUGCGCGAGUCAUUGGGUACCACUACACCCAAGGGCGUAUUGAACGAAAAGGCCGGCCUUUGUGCCGGCUGAGGGAGGAUGGAGGCUCGCUCGCGGGCCUCCCGCACUCCCGGGGCGUCUCGUCCUACCUCCGCUUGUCGUCGAAGGUGAGGCGCACCAAGAGCGCACACGUUUGGGACCCGAAAGAUGGUGAACUAUGCCUGGCCAGGACGAAGUCAGGGGAAACCCUGAUGGAGGUCCGUAGCGAUUCUGACGUGCAAAUCGAUCGUCGGAGCUGGGUAUAGGGGCGAAAGACUAAUCGAACCAUCUAGUAGCUGGUUCCCUCCGAAGUUUCCCUCAGGAUAGCUGGCGCUCAUUGAACCGAGUCCCAUCCGGUAAAGCGAAUGAUUAGAGGCCUUGGGAUCGAAACGGUUUCAACCUAUUCUCAAACUUUAAAUGGGUGGGAACCGCGGCUUGCUUAAAUGUGAAGCCGCGGACCACGGAUCGGAGUGCCCAGUGGGCCACUUUUGGUAAGCAGAACUGGCGCUGUGGGAUGAACCAAACGCCGGGUUAAGGCGCCCGAACCGACGCUCAUCCGAUACCAUGAAAGGUGUUGGUUGCUUAAGACAGCAGGACGGUGGCCAUGGAAGUUGGAAUCCGCUAAGGAGUGUGUAACAACUCACCUGCCGAAGCAACUAGCCCUGAAAAUGGAUGGCGCUGAAGCGUCGUGCCUAUACCCGGCCGCCGGCGGCAGAAGGCGGUCGCCCUCGGGCGGUCGCUGCGAAGCCCCGGUGAGUAGGAGGGUCGCGACGGUGAGCGCAGAAGGGUCUGGGCGCGAGCCUGCCUGGAGCCGCCGUCGGUGCAGAUCUUGGUGGUAGUAGCAAAUACUCCAGCGAGGCCCUGGAGGACUGAUGUGGAGAAGGGUUCCGUGUGAACAGCCGUUGCACACGGGUCAGUCGAUCCUAAGCCCUAGGAGAAAUCCGAUGUUGAUGGUCGCGGGAUGUUCUUGAAGCUCGCUAAAUGGCGGCUCGGUCCGCGGCGCUCGAAAGGCGUCUUCGUGGGUUCGGUCUAAACGAGGCGAAACGUCGAGACGAACGCUGUCUUGUCGCUCCCUGCGCGCUCCGCGUGUCGAGGCUCUCUUGGAGAAGUCGCGUAUUUGCCCACGGGCUGCGCGCGCCAGAGAGGUCGCCGCGGAGGUCGGACGUACCAGGUCAGAGCGGACAGCGGGACUCGAGACGGAAUAGUAGCCUCCCGCCACGGAGACAAGCGCUUUCUCGGGGGUUCGGUAUCAGCGAGACGAAAGACUCGGGAGAAACCAGUGACAUAACCUGCACCGCCUCAUUCCCUUCGCGCUCUGCGUGUCGACGCUCCCCCGGAGAAGUCGCGUUUGCCCACGGGCUUCGCGCGCCGGGGAGGUCGCCGCAAGAGGUCAGACGUAAAAGGUUGAGUGGGCACGGUCGGAAGAUUGGUUCUCGCCGGGACGAGUAAGUCUCCCACCCCGGGUCAAGGCGUGAUGUCUUCUCUGGAGCGCACGCGAGCCGUCGAGCUUUUAAAAAGUACCCCGUCCGUCGGGCGAAAGGGAAUCCGGUUCCUAUUCCGGAACCCGGUUGCGGAACCGCACUCACGAUCUUCGUAUUGACACGGUAACGUGAAAGACCCCAGAGAAGCCGUCUGGAGCCCCGGGAAGAGUUUUCUUUUCUGCCUGAGCGUUCAGGUUCCAUGGAAUCCUCUCGCAGGGAGAUAUGGAAUAGAACGCGAAGAGCACCGCAGUUGCUGCGGUGUCCGGGGAGUCCCGUCGGUCCUUGA